CGCAGUGGACGAGGAGUUCGAGGCGGUGUCGGAGCAGCUGCUGCGCCGCACGCGCGCCAUGCUCAACAAGUACCGGCUGCUGCUGCUCGAGGAGUCGCGGCGCGCCAGCCCCUCGGCCGAGAUGGUGAUGAUCGACCGCAUCUUCAUCCAGGAGGAGAAAACGGCGCUGGCGCUCGACCGGCAGCUGGCCCGGGACCGGCCCGACGAAUACGUCUCUUCCUCCUCCUCCUCCUCC